rnacentral:misc_RNA from 1 species
AAAUGACCCAUAAAACUACUUCAGAAACCCAAUUAAGCCAAGUAGGCAGCUAAAAGCCUAAAAGAAGCAAAACCCUAGACCAGUAGCAGCUCACCAGCAAAGAAGGAAAACUAAAAUAUAACAUGGGCGUCCUUUAUGGUCAGAGAAAAACCCUUAAUUCCGUAUCUGGGUUUCUCAUCAAUGAACACCAAAGCAAACCAUAAAGACUCAAAAAGAACCACAAUCGUAU